rnacentral:siRNA from 1 species
UCUGGUGUGAUGCAAACAGAUGA